rnacentral:rRNA from 1 species
GACGAACGCUGGCGGCGUGCUUAACACAUGCAAGUCGAACGGAAAGGCCCUGCUUUUGUGGGGUGCUCGAGUGGCGAACGGGUGAGUAACACGUGAGUAACCUGCCCUUGACUUUGGGAUAACUUCAGGAAACUGGGGCUAAUACCGGAUAGGAGCUCCUGCUGCAUGGUGGGGGUUGGAAAGUUUCGGCGGUUGGGGAUGGACUCGCGGCUUAUCAGCUUGUUGGUGGGGUAGUGGCUUACCAAGGCUUUGACGGGUAGCCGGCCUGAGAGGGUGACCGGCCACAUUGGGACUGAGAUACGGCCCAGACGCCUACGGGAGGCAGCAGUGGAGAAUAUUGCACAAUGGGCGGAAGCCUGAAGCAGCAACGCCGCGUGCGGGAUGACGGCCUUCGGGUUGUAAACCGCUUUCGCCUGUGACGAAGCGUGAGUGACGGAAAUGGGUAAAGAAGCACCGGCGAAUUACGG